UCCAAAAACAAUUAAAAGCAGGCAAUCAAAGUGUUCAUCCAGUCGACACACCCGAAUCGUUUUUGCACCGUCCUCCAUUAAUUUAAAGGGGUUUCUCGAAAGAGGUAACAAGUUCGAGAGUGUUAGUUUCCGAAACGAAAGUGUUAGUUGAGAAGCUGAUUCACAAAAGUAGGAACGGUUCUAUGGGACCGGCACAAGAAAGCUCUUCUCGAUGCCUUGGAGAAGAUCAAAAUCAGAGCUGAUGAUUCUUUCAUUCAUUUCGUUGCUCCUGACUUUCGGAGAAAACUACAUUUUGAAGAUUUGUAUCCCUUCACAUGUUGCUCAUACGAUGCUCCCGUGCCCUGUUCCUACUCCAUGGAAAGAGGAGGAGGAUGAGAAAAGGGAAGGUCACAGGAAACUCCUGUGGUUUGAGCACAGAUUUCUACAGGAGAUUACCAUCUUCUAAAAGAUGUUUCAUCUCCUGAUAGGAAUCUGUGCUCAAACCACAUCUAUGUUUUCAUUAUCGUCUUGUAGUUCCAAAAACUGUGAAAAUGAAACAAUUAAUGUAGCUGAGAUACCGUGUUAGUGUAGGGUUAUGAACAGCUUAUCUCUGCCAAGGCACUUCAUCAGUUGCACAUCCUCAUAUUCUUCUUAGCCAUUUUACACGUUCUCUACAGCUUCUUAACCAUGAUGCUUGGGAGGCUAAAGAUGCGUGGAUGGAAGCAUUGGGAGAAAGAGAAAUCAUCCACGAUUACGAGUUUUCAACAGGUGAUCAAAUGUAAAAUGGAUGUUUAGAAACAGAGUAAUCACACAACCACAAGUUUCAGGUCUUCUUUGUCCGUACGGUCAUUGCAGCGUUAUAAAGCCACAGGACAUUCGAUGAGAUACGAAGGGCUUGAACCUGAGACAUCAUCGGAUCUAGACACUGACAACGAGGCUUUGACUCCACCUAUGUCCCCAAAUGUCGAGCUUGUUGUGAAGGUUGAACAAGAUUAGAUGGAGACCAAGACCGGUGAGACUAGCCGUGCCGGUGUAAAUCAUUCUAAAGAGUUCUCUUUUGUCAAGCCUGCACCGAGUAAAGAACCAUCGUCGCAAGACCGAUGAAACUGAUUCCAAAUGGUUCUAUUUUGUCAAGCCUCCGCUGAGUAGAGAACCAUCGUAGUAAAGAAUCGUUACUGCGGAGAUUUAUUCAUCUAAAUGCUUUUGUAAAUCAAUGCCAUGGUGAAAAAGUAAAGUGUUGACGACCAUAUUAAUGAACUAAAUUAGUGUUUGGUCUUUUGCCAUUGCUAUUGUUCGUUCAUAAUUAGGUGAUUGUAUUUGAAAAGUGAAAACU